AAGAGAACCUGAACACAGGUGCUGCAUGGCUGUCGUCAGCUCGUGUCGUGAGAUGUUGGGUUAAGUCCCGCAACGAGCGCAACCCUUGUCAUUAAUUGCCAUCAUUUAGUUGGGCACUUUAAUGAGACUGCCGGUGACAAACCGGAGGAAGGUGGGGAUGACGUCAAGUCCUCAUGGCCCUUAUGGGUAGGGCUUCACACGUCAUACAAUGGUCGGUACAGAGGGUUGCCAACCCGCGAGGGGGAGCCAAUCCCACAAAGCCGAUCGUAGUCCGGAUCGCAGUCUGCAACUCGACUGCGUGAAGUCGGAAUCGCUAGUAAUCGUGGAUCAGCAUGUCACGGUGAAUACGUUCCCGGGUCUUGUACACACCGCCCGUCACACCAUGGGAGUGGGUUUCACCAGAAGUAGGUAGUCUAACCGCAAGGGGGGCGCUUACCACGGUGGGAUUCAUGACUGGGGUGAAGUCGUAACAAGGUAGCCGUA
rnacentral:rRNA from 1 species